AAGCCUGCAAUCGUAGCGAUUGUAUUUUCUCACCAUAUUUACAUCCACGAGAGGAGGAUGCUCACUUGCUGUGAAGGACAAGACUGGAACCAGCGGGUGCAGUUACGGAGAAAUAAUCUGAUUGCAUGUUUGGUGCAGCGUGUAGAUAAAAAUGGAAUGAUGACGUGACAACAGCAGAUGUUUAGGCAUUCUUCCAUGUUCUCAGAUCCAUGGCACAGCAGCAAGGGUGAGGUUUAUCUGGAUUAAAAACAUGCAACAAACAGUCUGGAUUCUCAGAUGGGUUCCGUCAGACAUCAUACAGUCUCUGUUGUAUAAACUCUCCAUCAGUGAUAUUCAGAACUCAACCCUUCCUCCAUAAAACACACCUGCUGGAGCUGUUAUCCAGGAGAUUGGAAUCUACACAUCACUGAGAUUAUCAUAAACUCUACUAAUCCUUCCACAAACAGAUGUAUCUGACUCAUACUUCACCCUUGCUUUCUCCCCUACACAUCUGCUUUCUCUCUAUCUCUCUUUCCUUUAUUCUCUCACCCUUUCAUUAAUUCUCUCAGUCUAUCACCCUCUCCCUCUUUUGUUAUUUCUCUCUCCCUUAUCUCUCUCUCUCACUCCCAUUCUUUUUCCAUCACCCUCCCUUUUUCUUUCUUGUCCCUCUUCUUUCCCCCUCUCCCCCUUGUCCCUCUUCUUUCUUGUCCCUCUUCUUUCCCCCUCUCCCUGGAGACCCUUUCUCUCAUAACCCUGAAACUUCUAUAUAAUACUCUUAUAACUGUAAGAUUCCUUAAUAUCAAAUAAUCAAAGUACUCAGAAGUACAGAGAGCCGGGCUCAUUUACA